rnacentral:lncRNA from 1 species
CGAAAAAGGUCGAGAAAAAGGGUUUCUUUUGCGUUGAUGUCGUCUUUCUUGUUCUUUUUUUUUCUUUCUUUUUGGGUCCGUCGUCGUCCUUCUUUUUGUCGUGGCAGUCAAUCGGGUGGUCGGAUCGUCGACUUGUUGUUGUUGUUGUUGUUGUUCUUCUUUGGGUCCGUCUCACUCACGCGGACGGCAUCGGCGGCCGCCAAGGGAGGGGCGGGGGCGAUUUGCGUGUCCUUUUUGUUAAUGUAUUUUU